CCCUUAGAUGUUCUGGGCCGCACGCGCGCUACACUGUUUGAUUCAGCGAGUCUUAACCUUGACCGAAAGGUUUGGGUAAUCUUCUAAAGUCAAACGUGAUGGGGAUCGAUCAUUGCAAUUAUUGAUCGUGAACGAGGAAUUCCUAGUAAAUGCAAGUCAUCAGCUUGCGUUGAUUACGUCCCUGCCCUUUGUACACACCGCCCGUCGCUACUACCGAUUGAAUGGUUUAGUGAGGGCCUCGGAUUGGUCUCGGCCCGCUCUUUACCGGGCGGCGCCGUUGGUCGAGAAGACGCUCGAAUUUGAUCGUUUAGAGGAAGUAAAAGUCGUAACA
rnacentral:rRNA from 1 species